rnacentral:rRNA from 1 species
UAGGGAUUUUUCCACAAUGGGCGAAAGCCUGAUGGAGCAACGCCGGGUGUGUGAUGAAGGCUUUCGGGUCGUAAAGCAUCUGUCGUAUGGGAAGAACAGGCUAGAAUAGGAAAGGAUUUUAGUUUGACGGUACCAUACCAGAAAGGGAGGGCUAAAUACGUGCCAGCAGCCGCGGUAAUACGUAUGUCCCGAGCGUUAUCCGGAUUUAUUGGGCGUAAAGCGAGCGCAGACGGUUUAUUAAGUCUGAUGUGAAAGCCCGGAGCUCAACUCCGGAAUGGCAUUGGAAACU